ACCGGGGGCAUGUGCACGCUCUGUUUACAUAUCCACCCACACCUGUGCACCCUCUGUAGUUCUAUGGCCUGGGUGACUCUCUGUCCCCUUGCUGUGGUUCUACGUGUUUACACACACACUGCUAUAAAGUCUCAUGGAAUGUUUGUCGCGUUUAACGCAAUACAAUACAACUUUCAGCAACGGAUCUCUUGGCUCUCGCAUCGAUGAAGAACGCAGCGAAAUGCGAUAAGUAAUGUGAAUUGCAGAAUUCAGUGAAUCAUCGAAUCUUUGAACGCACCUUGCGCCCUUUGGCUAUUCCGAAGGGUAUGCCUGUUUGAGUAUCAUGAACACCUCAACUCCUCAUGGUUUGCCAUGAUGAGCUUGGACAUUGGGGGUCUUGCUGGCCCUGUGGUUGGCUCCCCUCAAAUGGAUCAGCUUGCCAGUGUUUGGUGGCAUCACAGGUGUGAUAAAUAUCUACGCUUGUGGUUCCGCCACGUAACCUUCAGUGAUGAAGGUGCGCUGGAGCUCACAAUUGUCCCUCCUCAGCGAGGACAGCUUUCUGAACGUU
rnacentral:rRNA from 1 species